UUGAAGUCAAAAGGAUAUGAGUAGUGCCUUGCUCGACUCGAAACUUAACCCAAACCUGACUAAGUAAUCUUGAAAGUUUGAAAAAUUACAUUUAUACCAUGCAUAUAUAAACAGAAAAUUUAGGGUUUUUUUUUUUUUUUUCAUGCAUACUCUCCUCUUCAACCACUUCUUCUACCUUCCAUGUUGUUCUCUCCUUAUCACGUGGUUUGCCGCAAUGGUGGAAACAAGGCAAAACUUCAUGUCAGAAAUUAAAGUGUUAUCAAGUAUUGAGAGAGAAGUUAGCAUUAACAUUAACAAAACUAUUUAUAGGAUUUUGCUCUUAUGUCACAGUCUUCCUCUCCCUGUGGAUCCUUUUAUUGAAAGAUUUAAUCUUACCAUGGACUUUGCAGAAGCAGUAAGGUUUUGAGGGCGUUGCCAAAGGUCUUUUUGGAUAGUAUGGAUCACUGUAGCCAUACUCAACAAAGUAUUGUUUCACUAAUAAAUCAGUGCUUUGCUUUCUUUUUCUUUUUUAACUAUUUUUCGGGUUUAGUCUUCUUAGUUUUAUUUAUCAACAAUCAAUUUUUUUAUCUAGUUUUUCUUUUUAAUUUUAAUUUUAAUUUGGAAAUUGAGUUGAAUAAUUUUUUUUCAAUUUGUUUUUUCAAUAAUUAACCUGCUCAUAUGACUUGAAAUUACCACAAUAGGCUUCCUAAAUAAAAUAAUAAAAAGAGGUUAUUAAUAGGCAUCGACAACCAGCAUUUCUAAUGCAUUGUUAUAUGAAUAUUUGGUUUAUUUAUCAUAUUCUGUAUACAAUUCUUUUCUAAGAGAAACUAUUCUUAUAAAAACGAAUAAACACAUAAAAAUUCUUAUAAAAAGAUUGUCUUAAUUUGGAUUUAAUGAUUUAAAGUUCUACUUUCCCUUCAUGUUUAGCUUUUCUAAUCUGUAAUCACUCCGGCAUUCUCCAUCAGAAGUGAUGUAAUCACAGUCCAUUAUUUGUCUUCUUUUACCAGAUAAUGAAGCCAAACCAUGAACUGUGAAGCUGAUGAUUGUGCAACUUACAGCCAUUAACUUGACACCUCACCUACUUUCCAAUGAAUUUCCCCAUCUCAUUUGUGAUUUGAUGUAAAAUGAGAGUCAAGCAUGACGGACUCCCGAAAAAGAGAGAGAGCAAUCCCACAUCGGAAGCAAAGAAAUAAUAUCACAGCAUUAUAACCCUCAUCCAUCUGCCUGCACUUCAGCUGAGCCAGGUAACAUAGGCUUGUAACCCGAGUGGGAGCUGUAAGGUGAUGGAACGUUGGUUCAGCCUAGAAGGCUGGGUUCAGAUCAGCCUAAUUCUGGCCUGCCCGUUUCAAGCCAGGAGUUGAGCCAUUGCAUCCUAGUGAAGACGUGGGUUUCUUGACUCCUAGAGUGGAGGGUACAGCGUGAGGCUGGUUUAACAGAGCAGCGAACACCUCCCUCUCUUGGCAGUGAAAGGAUAACGGGCCGGUGCUGUCGGGAUCCAUAUGGCUUAAUGGGCUGGUCUAAUCUGGACCAUCACUUUU